rnacentral:rRNA from 1 species
CCCUUAGAUGUUCUGGGCCGCACACGCGCUACACUGAAGGAGGCAGCGUGUACUCCUGGAUCGAAAGAUUUGGGUAACCCGCGAAUCUCCUUCGUGCUAGGGAUUGAGGUUUGCAAUUAUCCUUCAUGAACGAGGAAUUCCCAGUAAGUGCAAGUCAUAAGCUUGCGCUGACUACGUCCCUGCCCUUGUACACACCGCCCGUCGCUACUACCGAUUGAAUGAUUUAGUGAGGACUUCGGACUGGGACCGAUGCGGCUUUCGGGCUGCGUCGGUAUUCUGGAAAGAUGUCCAAACUGUAUCAUUUAGAGGAAGUAAAAGUCGUAACA